GUCUAGCGCAAGGGGAGCUUAUAUUGAUAAGCUGAGAAAGAGAUGUUAUCUCUGACCCUCAUAACCUGAUUUGGAUAAUUCCAACGUAGGGAGCAUUUUUCAACUAUA
rfam:Clostridium sp. HMP27 Clostridium-HMP27_contig_18, whole genome shotgun sequence.